rnacentral:misc_RNA from 1 species
CCCUGAUAAGGGUGAGGUCGGUAGUUCGAGUCUACCCAGACCCACCAUUCUCUGAAUGACGCAUACAAUCGAUCUUUAUACGCAUCAGCACUGUGGCUGGUACGUGUUCUUUUAAAACUUGUGACGUAGCGAGCGUUUGAGAUGUUCUAUCAGACGUGUCGUGAGGCUAAGGCGAGAGACAUAAGUCUCUUUAUUGAUUGAGUCGUUAUAUUCGUAUCCGGGCUUUGUACCCCCGGGUCA